rnacentral:rRNA from 1 species
CCCCUAGUAACUGCGAGUGAAAUGGGAAAAGCUCAAAUUUGAAAUCUGGCAGUCUCCUUUUUCUUCUUUGGCUGUCCGAGUUGUAAUCUAGAGAAGUGCUUACCUACACUGGACCAUGUAUAAGUCUCCUGGAAUGGAGCGUCAUAGAGGGUGAGAAUCCCGUCUUUGACAUGGACUGCCAGUGUGUUGUGGUGUGCUCUCAAAGAGUCGAGUUGUUUGGGAAUGCAGCUCUAAAUGGGUGGUAAACUCCAUCUAAAGCUAAAUAUUGGCAAGAGACCGAUAGUGAACAAGUACCGUGAGGGAAAGAUGAAAAGGACUUUGGAAAGAGAGUUAAACAGUAUGUGAAAUUGUUGAAAGGGAAACGCUUGAAGUCAGUUAUGUUGGUUAGGGAUCAGCCCAGCUAAUUUUGCUGAGUGAAUUUCCUAGUCUGACAGGCCAACAUCAGUUCUGACUGCUAGAAAAGAGCAGAGGGAAUGUGGCACCUUUGGGUGUGUUAUAGCCUUUUGUCAUAUGUGGCAGUUGGGACUGAGGAAUGCAGCGUGCUGUAAAGCUGGGUUAUGACCACUUUCGCGCUUAGGAUGUUGGCUUUUAAUGGCUUCAAUCGACCCGUCUUGAAACACGGACCAAGGAGUCUAACAUGCCUGCAAGUG